GUGCUUGCUUUGGCAGCACAUAUACUAAAAUUGGAAGGAUACAGAGAUCAGAAUGUCCCCUCAUACAAAUUUGUGAAGUGGGCAGCUCUCCU
rnacentral:snRNA from 1 species